UAACUUUAUUCCAUUCCUCAA
rnacentral:piRNA from 1 species